rnacentral:rRNA from 1 species
UGAGGAAUAUUGGUCAAUGGACGCAAGUCUGAACCAGCCAAGUAGCGUGCAGGAUGACGGCCCUAUGGGUUGUAAACUGCUUUUAUAUGGGGAUAAAGUGGGGAACGUGUUCCCUUUUGCAGGUACCAUAUGAAUAAGGACCGGCUAAUUCCGUGCCAGCAGCCGCGGUAAUACGGAAGGUUCGGGCGUUAUCCGGAUUUAUUGGGUCUAAAGGGAGCGUAGGCCGUUUGGUAAGCGUGUUGUGAAAUGUAGCAGCUCAACUUCUAGAUUGCAGCGCGAACUUUCAGACUUGAGUGCGCACAACGUAGGCGGAAUUCAUAGUGUAGCGGUGAAAUGCUUAGAUAUCAUGAAGAACUCCGAUUGCGUAGGCGGCUUACGGGAGCGCAACUGACGCUGAAGCUCGAAGGUGCGGGUAUCGAACAGG